rnacentral:rRNA from 1 species
AUUGAACGAUAGCGGCAGGCCUAACCCAUGCACGUCGAACGAGUGGCGGACGGGGGAGUAAUGUCUGGGAAACUGCCUGUAGGAGGGGGAUAACUACUGGAAAAGGUAGCUAAUACCGCAUACCAUCAGAUGUGCCCAGAUGGGAUUAGCUUGUUGGUGGGGUAACGGCUCACCAAGGCGACGAGCCCUAGCUGGUCUGAGAGGAUGACCAGCCACACGGGACCUGAGACACGUCCCCGACUCCUUCGGUAGGCAGCAUUGGGGAUUAUUGCACAACGGGGGCAAUCCUGAUGGAGCCAUGCGUCGUGUAUGAAGAAGGCCUUCGGGUUGUAAAGUACUUUCAGCGGGGAUGCGUUACCCGCAGAGGAAGCGCCUGCUAACGUAGUGACAGCAGCCGCGGUAAUAC